rnacentral:rRNA from 1 species
UGGGGGAUAUUGCACAAUGGGGGAAACCCUGAUGCAGCGACGCCGCGUGGGUGAAGGAGCACUUCGGUGCGUAAAGCCCUAUCGGCAGGGAAGAAAAGGGGGAAACCCCAGACGGUACCUGACUAAGAAGCCCCGGCGUAACUACGUGCC